rnacentral:rRNA from 1 species
ACGGGGUGCAGCAGGCGCGAAACCUUCACAAUGCACGAAAGUGUGAUGAGGUCAUCCCGAGUCCUAGGCUUACGUCUAGGUUUUCUGGAGUUUGAUAAGCUUCAGGAAUAAGGAGGGGGCAAGAACGGUGCCAGCCGCCGCGGUAAAACCGUCUCUUCGAGUGGCCACCGCGUUUACUGGGCUUAAAGCGUGCGUAGCGGGAUUAGUCCGUCCCACAUUAAAGACGGCUUCUCAAGAGUCCGAAGUGUGUGGGAAACAGCUAAUCUUGGCAAUGGGAUAGGGGCUCGGUACCCGUGGUGUAAAGGUGAAAUUUUAUAAUCCCACGGGGACCACCGAUGGCGAAGGCAGAGCCCUGGAACAUGUGCGACCGUCAGGCACGAAAGGGUGGGUAGCGAGCCGGAUUAGAUACCCGGGUAGUCCACCCCGUAAACGAUGCGGAUUAAGUGUAUGGGAAGCGAAUGCUUUCCAUGUGCCGUAGGGAAACCGUUAAAUCCGCCGCCUGGGAAGUACGCUCGCAAGAGUGAAACUUAAAGCAAUUGGCGGGAGAGCGCCACAAUGGGUGGAGCCUGCGGCUUAAUUGGACUCAACGCCGGAAAACUCACCAGAGUCUUCUAUCCGAUGCCAACCAGCUUGAAGAGCUUGUUGAAAGGAUGAAAGGGAAGUGCAUGGCCGUCUCCAGCUCGUGCCGUGAGGUGUCCUGUUA